AAGAAAAAAACGCUUGGAAUUAUUGUCGCGGGGUGUUUCUGGAGCUAUAUAACAUGCACUGUAGUCUUGCAUGAGAGGGCACUGAUAAUUAAUGUGUUUUUAACAGUGGCAAAUAGGAUUCCGCAAGCUAGCUAAAUUUUAACCAAGUGUCAGGCCUGAUUCUUAAUAGGAAUUUUAUGAACCGCCUGCACUACAUCUUAUUGCGCCCAAUUUAAACAGCCCCCUCGGAAGUCAGUGCAGCGGUUUGCCACGCCAGAGGGCAACUCGUUUCACGGAUGGCUCAACUUAGGGAGAUGCCUGUCUGAGCCAUCAAUCACCCACAAGAAUAAGUAUCCCUUUUCUAAGCAGGAAAGUGGCAAGCAAGAUGCCUGCCUCUUGCCUCUGGGUGGAGAUGAAAUGAACGUUUAAGUCCUUUCUUCAGUGUGGGAACACAGGCCUAGUUUGGGGAAACGGAAUGAAUUUACAGUAGUGCAAAGAUGUCAUUUUGUCCAUUGUGAUCUACUCUAGGGAUGGGCAAGUCUGUCAGUUUUGCUUUCUCUCAGUUUCUCAUUUUCCCAAUCUUGGGGUCAGCUUGCAUCGUUUCCACAUUAGCUGGUGUCAGCAUUUUAUUAUACAUUUCCCCAAUGUUUACAUAUUUUGUAUUCAGUUCUGCUAAAUAUGCAUCUGUGUUGCAAUCAAUUUCCCUUAAUAAUACACAUUUUUUCAAGUUAUUUUCACUAAUACAGCUCUUUUGUGCCCUUUCUCCUAAUAUACACAUUUUUGACACUUUCAAAAUGAAGGAUAGCUGUGUUUUGGUUCAUGUAUUUUUUUCCACAAAGUGCAAAUUAGGGCUAAACUGACUUCAUCCCCAUCCCUUCACUAGCCUUCACUAGCCAAUUAAAAGUGGCAUAUUUUUCAGGUGGGCGGGGGGGAUAUAGUAUGGAACAGAUCAGGAACAUACCAUAUGGAAAUAUUAAAACAAAUAUACAAAUCUGAAUCUAAAUUCAAAAUGC